UAUAUAUACAUAUUUCAGAGUAUAUAUAUUUUUUUUCAGAAUAUAUUUUUUCACAAUAUAUUUAUUGCAGAAUGCCUGUACUUACAAUAAUUACACAAUCUUAGGCUACAUUUAUACCUACUCCAAUUAUUCUUUUAGUACAAAAUGAUAAACUCUAUUUUUAGAGGUAUAUUUGAGUAGUUACUUAGCUUUAAAUACAUUAACACUGAUAGUAGUCCUGAAUUAUCAAUCAAUAAUUUAUUCAUAUGUUGAAUAUGAAUUUUAUUAAUAUUUAUUUUAUGCUUCUUAAUUUAUUAAUAUGUUGAAUAUGAAUAUGGAUUUUAUUGUUGUAUAAAAUGGGUGCAGAGCUUAAUAAAAAUGUCAUUGUCCAUGUUUGGGUGUGAAGGAAGAUAAUGGACUUUGCACUGGUUUCUUCUGAGGAAAGGAAGAAGAAUUGGAAAAAAAAAUUGGAAAAAUUGCAAAAAACCAAUAGAUUUUGGUUUAUUGAGUGUUUCAAAGGCUCGUUCCUGGUGUCAGUGGCAAGCUCGGAGUGCUCGGCAGCAGUGGCUCGGCUCCCCCGAGUGCCAGCAGAUGUUUUGCCUUUAAAGGUCACUGGGACUUUGGGCCAGGCUGGCUCCUGCUGCCAGCAGAGCUCCCAGCUGCACCGAGGGCUGACAGCAGCAAGGAAAGGACAUUCCAUGGAUUUCUGGGGCACUUCCACGUGUCCCCACGGCCCCUCGGCCAGCUGGCAGAGUGGGACUGAAAUGGGAACAGGAUCUAAAUGGGAAUUGUGGGUCAGAACAGGGGAUGGGAGCAGCCAGGGCUGCUGGGGCUCUGAGGGGCUCAGGACACAACCUCUGUGCUUCUAAGGGUGGGAGCUCGGCAGGAAUUCAGAGUUAAACUGAUCCAUUAGGGAGAGAUGGGAUCCGUUAGAGAUAGACAGAGAUUGGAUCCAUUGGAGAGAGAUUGGACCCAUUGGAGAUGGGAUCCAUGAGAGAUGGAUGGGAUCCACUGGAGAUUGGAUCCAUUGGAGAGAGAGUUGAUCCAUUAGAGAUGGAUCCAUUGGAGAUAGAGUUGAUCCAUUAGAGAUGGAUCCAUUGGAGAUAGAGUUGAUCCAUUAGAGAUGGAUCCAUUGGAGAGAGAGUUGAUCCAUUAGAGAGUGGAUCCAUUGGAGAGAGAGUUGAUCCAUUAGAGAGUGGAUCCAUUGGAGAGAGAGUUGAUCCAUUAGAGAAUGGAUCCAUUAGAGAGAGAGUUGAUCCAUUAGAGAGUGGAUCCAUUGGAGAGAGAGUUGAUCCAUUAGAGAUGGAUCCAUUGGAGAGAGAGUUGAUCCAUUGGAGUUGGAUCCAUUGGAGAUUGCAUCCAUUGGAGAUAGAGUUGAUCCAUUAGAGAGUGGAUCCAUUGGAGAGAGAGUUGAUCCAUUGGAGAUUGCAUCCAUUGGAGAUAGAGUUGAUCCAUUAGAGGGUGGAUCCAUUGGAGAGAGAGUUGAUCCAUUGGAGAUUGCAUCCAUUGGAGAUAGAGUUGAUCCAUUAGAGAUAGGAUCCACUAGAGAUUGGAUCCAUCAGAGAUCGAUAUUUAGGCAGAGCAGAGGCAGCCUGGCCAGCCCACGUGACAACUGCAGUAUCCUAUUGUAAUCAAAUCUUGAAUAAAGCUAAAUAAAAACUGCCACAGACACUGGAAUGUUGCACUCUGCCUGCGCUCUGCUGUGUUCCCACCUUUCUGUGGCCCCCUGCUCGGCUCUGCCUGCCUGGCUCUGAUCACCUGGCUGCUCUCUCCUGGGUUUGUUGCUCUUUUUCCUUCUCAGAAGCAGGGCCCAGUGGCACUCUGAGCUGUGCCACUGACCCCCGUGCCCCUUCCUGCCCUCUCAUGCUCAGAUUUUAAUUAGGAGCAGGAGGAAGGCUGCCAGCAGAAAAAUGAGGAUUUUACCACUGCUUGUGGCUGCUCCCCCUGUCCUGCUCUGUUCCAGCCCGUGCCCUUGUGCUCCCCUCACAAUUUCAGUUCUUGGUUGCAGCAGGUGCUGCUGGCACUCCAGGAAUUCCAAUUACCAUUUGUCAAGUGCUAAAGGAGUUUUGUGGAAGAGCUUUUAUUUAUUUCUCAGAUUGGAUUCUGUCCUGGCCUUGGCUGGGACAGGGUUUUUUCCUUCUGACUUGACAGAUUCCAGAUAUAUUUUUACAAACUCCUUGUUUCCCUUUGCUCUCUGGAUUCCUGUUCUUCAUUAGGUUGGAAAGGGAGCAUAAUUUGCCUUUUUAACUGGCUGAAAUUGCAUGUUCAUUGAAUAAGGGGAAAUAUUUAUACAAAUGAUGCUACCUUGUGACUUCUUUUGAUUAUUAAAGCACAGAGAAGAUAAAUAAUUUCUCUGGUAGCUGUAGAAUAACUGAUGUUUCCUUUGAGAAACGUAAGCUGUAAAUGAGGAUUUUUUUUUUUUUUGUAACUGAGAUUAUUUUGAUUGCACAGAAAUUAAUUGUCAUUAAUGUAGUAAAACAUUUAAUGCAUUUAAAGCUUUUAAGCAAUAGUUAAUUUAUAUAUUUUUUUAAUCAGAAUUUCUUUUGCAUUUUGUUGAAAUAGCUAGAAAAACUUGGAAGGUGCUUUUGUUUCAGUCAGAGGUUUGUGUUGUUUGACUGAAAUGUACCUCUGCAAUUUGAGAGUUGCUCUUCCAAAGGCGGAAAUUCUAACAGGAAGGUGGAAAAUUCACUCACUAAAUGGGUGAAAGAAGAGGUGAGAAAUGGUGAAAAUGGGGCUGCAGGAAGGACAAGGCUCUCCUGUGCUCCAACAGUUUUAGCAGAAUUUCUUUGGUUGUUCUAGCCCAGAGUUUAGAUAUAUAAAGAGUUUAGGUGUAGGAAUAUUAGAUAUAUAUCAAUAUUUAGAUAUAUAAAUAUUUUAUAAGGUUUAAUAUUCAGGUGCUUCUGAAGGAAUUGUAUGAGAAGGAAACUGGGAAUUGUGUAGGGAAUCAAGCUGGAGGCUGAGGAGAAAGGAAUUGACAACUUAAAAAUUCCUUUAAGAGCUGCAAUAGCAUUUCUUGAAGUCUGCUGCAAUCAUAUUUUAGCCCAUAAAUAAAAAAACCCUAAUAAACAUGAUUUCUUGAGGUCUGCUGCCAUCAUAUUCAAUGAUUCAAAACCAAUCAUCCCUGAUUGUUUUUUCAGCCUGAGUUUGGGUUUGUCACCGCUCUGAGGAGGAUCUCUUGGAUCUGGUGUGAUUUGAAUCAGUGGCAGCAGUUUGUGCUGUGCAGUGUUGGGAUAGAAUAAAGAAGAGAGGGAUGGAGUAGCAGCUGGCAGAUGCUGCUGGCAUCAACACAGCCCCUCCCAGCUGGUUCUCAGUCACAGGCUGUGUGCUAUCAAUUUUCCUGGGACACCAGUUCAGGGACCAGCUUUGGGAAGUUCUGCUGGCCCAGCAGCAGUUGAGUGAGUUCAUAGCCGUGGUUAACGAAGUAAAGCAUUAAGAGGGUUAAUUAAAUGGUUAAUAAAAUAGAGCAUUUUCAUUGAUCCCAACCUCCCGAGCUCCUGGUGCAGUUCAGAUCGAGAUCAGUCUGGAAAGAUCUGGGGUAUGAGAGGAGGUGGGAGUGUGUGAGGUGAGCAGGUGAUGUUUGUGUUUGUGGGUGCUGCCUGUCACCUGCUGACACCCUGCCCUGGGAGCUGUCUGUCUGUCUGUCUGUCUGCAGUCACUGCUGGGCUCAGCUCUGGCACCCAGAGGGGCAGCACUUCUUUUCAGCCUUGGUUAUGAAACACAGCAAACGAC